UUUCAAGAGUAUUCCAAUAAUAACACUGUAAUUGUUUGUUUGUGUUCCCUUAUGUUUUCUUCAGUAGGAGACAUCCCAUCUACACAGUACAGCUCAAACGAUCAGCUGCAUUCCUGCACAGCCAUCUCUUCAGUAUAUAUAAAUGAAGGAGAAGAGCAGUAUGAUUUUAUUACCAAAUUCACAAAAAGGACAAGCUGUGAAACGUCUAGAUUCCAGAGCAACAGACUGUGAUCCAUUCCCAACCACCCCUCCCUACCGUCUGCCACAAGCUCCCGUAAAGCAGGAAUCAGAGCUAGACUGGCUCAGCUUAGAAUUGUUUUGGAGAACUUGGAACUCAACAUUCCAUAAAGUAAGUGUAGUCUUUUUUCUAAAGAAUUUUAUCCUCCUUUCACUAGUGUCAUUCAAAUUUUAUCACCAAUAGCUCUAUAAACAUCAGCCUGAAAGCACAUGGAAGCAUAUUUUCUAAGGCUGCUAAAGCAUUCAUUCUCAACCCCAACUGAACAGUAGAUAUGUUGCCUUGCAAAGUGGUUAAUAAACCGGGCAUAGAAGGUCAAGGAUUCUAAGCCAGGAGCAAAUCCUACACCAUGCAACUUAAACAGUACAUUAUUCCAGGAUAAUGCAAUCACUGGAGCUGUACUUACACGACAAAUCUUAAAAGUGUCAUUCCAUUAUAAAAAGGACUUUGAGAACAUAAGUAAUCCUAGUCCAUCAGGAAAGUCCUUCAUUCAACUCAUGGUCCAAUCAAAACUGCCUUAAUGUUAUAGACUUUGGUAUGGCCUAUGUAGCAUCUAGAAUUAAUUGCUACAUUGAAUUUAUUACUGUGUUUGACUGACUUUUUUUUUAACUCAAGACAUGCUGAUAACUUUUAUGCUAAUGAAGGAGAAGGCAAAACAAAAGCAUGAUGGAAAGUAUAAAGAUUGGACUGCAGAAGAUACGUGAAUACUUUGAUUAUCCUGUUUGAUAUUGCCUUAUUUUUGGGAGAAGAAAAGGAUGAAUGUUAAUAAGUCCAUCUCACAGAGAAAGAAAUGAAGGGUCAGAAAAAAGCUCAUGUGGCUAGUAAGUGGUGGAGUGAAACCCAAAUGCCAAUAUAUAGCUAAUAUUCCAGAGAAAGGAAAAUUUCUAUAACAAGGCCACCAAACUUUUAGCGUAUUAAGUAAGGCACUGCUAUAUUUUCUAGAAAUUAUCCUUUUGCAAAUACUUUUCAUUUCAUAUAGGUAUCUAAUUAUUAUAUCUGUAAUAGUUGAAAAGACUCAACUGUCUCCCACUGAAUUGUUUUGGUGCCAAAGUAGAAAUAGAUCAACUGUAUAUGGGUGGUCGACUCUCUUUUUUGAUAUAUUGAUUUUUUGUUCUUAUUUUGUCAAUACUGUUUUGAUCCUUCCAGGUCAUUUGCAUUACCACACAAACACAUGAAGCUUAUUCAUUUCUACAAGAAAAGUCUGUUGGGGUUUUGAUUAGUAUUGUUUUGAAUUUAAACAUGAGUUUGAGUAGAAGUCACUUAUUAAUAAUACCUGUGUUGAAUAAUUCUAGAUUAUGAAUGCAGCAUAUCUUUCCAUUUAUUUAGAUUCUCUUUAAAUUCUCUCAGCAAUAUCUUACUGUUUUCAGUGUACUUGUA